rnacentral:rRNA from 1 species
UACAGAGGUCUCAAGCGUUGUUCGGAUUCAUUGGGCGUAAAGGGUUUGUAGGCGGCCUUGUAAGUCAGGUGUGAAAUCCCCUCGGCUCAACCGAGGAAUGGCGCUUGAUACUGCAAGGCUUGAGGGAGACAGGGGUAAGCGGAACUGAUGGUGGAGCGGUGAAAUGCGUUGAUAUCAUCAGGAACACCGGAGGCGAAAGCGGUGCACUGGGGGUUGGUCUGACGCUGAGGCACGAAAGCCAGGGGAGCGAACGGG